rnacentral:rRNA from 1 species
UACGGAGGGUGCAAGCGUUGUCCGGAUUUAUUGGGUUUAAAGGGUAUGUAGGUUGUUAUGUUAGUCUUUUGUCAAAGCCUUCGGCUCAACCGGAGAAUUGCGGGAGAAACGGCAUAACUAGAGGGCGCGAGAGGUUUGCGGAACUCAUGGUGUAGGGGUGAAAUCCGUUGAUAUCAUGGGGAACACCUAAAGCGAAGGCAGCAAACUGGCGCGUUCCUGACUCUGAAAUACGAAAGCGUGGGUAGCGAAUGGG